GGCCGACUGGCCCAAUGGCAAGGCGUAAGUGAGUUUAUCUAAUUCAAUGUAGAUUGCGGGUUCGAAUCCCGUGUUGGUCA
rnacentral:tRNA from 1 species